GACGAAUGCUAGCGGCGUGCUUUAGGCAUGCAAGUAGAACGGGAUUGCCGCAAGACAGUUUAGUUGCGAACGGCUGAGUAACACGUAGGAAUCUACCUCUUGGUGGGGAAUACCUCGUCGAAAGACGGGCUAAUACCGCAUGAGAUCGCAAGAUGAAAGGGCUUAACCGCCUGCCGAGAGAGGAGCCUGCGGCCCAUCAGCUAGUUGGUGGGGUAAAAGCCUACCAAGGCGACGAUCUGUAGCGGGUCUGAGAGGAUGAUCCGCCACACUGGAACUGAGACACGGUCCAGACUCCUACGGGAGUCAGCAGUGGGGAAUUUUGGACAAUGGGGGCAACCCUGAUCCAGCCAUGCCGCGUGAGUGAAGAAGGCCUUCGGGUUGUAAAGCUCUUUCAGCCGGGAAGAAAUCGUAUGGGUUAAUACCCUGUGCGGAUGACGGUACCGGAAUAAGAAGCACCGGCUAACUACGUGCCAGCCGCCGCCGUAA
rnacentral:rRNA from 1 species